rnacentral:snRNA from 1 species
AUACUUACCUGGACGGGGUCGAUGGCCGAUCAAGAAGAGUCAUGGUCUAGGCUAGUGGUCCGCAUUGCACUUGGUGGAUGCGCUGGCUUACCAUCUCCCCAAGUGGGAGAAUGGACGUCAUAAUUUGUGGUAGAGGGGGUAUGCGUUCGCGCGGCCCCUGC